GCGGAUGUAGCCAAGUGGAUCAAGGCAGUGGAUUGUGAUCACC
rnacentral:tRNA from 1 species